rnacentral:misc_RNA from 1 species
AUAAAUAAAGAUGGGUGGAAAUGUUUGUGGUAUUUCCAGACAAGAUACCAUUUUGCCGUAGUUUGUCGUUUCCUGGGUCCAGCUACAGACUGGAGGUGGCGCUAGCUUUCGCUGGUUCCUCAUGAGAAGAGUACAGAAUUUUCUCAUAGUAACAUAUUAAUUCUUUUAGAGAUUCCUAUGCUGAAUAUUUCCAGAAUGCUCGAUUCAAGUAGCAGCUCAGAAGAGUGAUUUUAGAAGGUGAGUUGAGCCUCAACUCAACUUGAAGGGAUCUAGAAUCCAAUUCUAAUAACCUUUGUAGUCUCUCCCCUUCUAUUGGCGCUCAUGUAUACCCUACUUCUGAGGAAAGAGGAGCAUAGGAUCAAAGAGUUUUUCG